UACGAAGGGGGCUAGCGUUGCUCGGAAUUACUGGGCGUAAAGGGCGCGUAGGCGGAUAGUUUAGUCAGAGGUGAAAGCCCAGGGCUCAACCUUGGAACUGCCUUUGAUACUGGCUAUCUUGAGUUCGGGAGAGGUGAGUGGAAUGCCGAGUGUAGAGGUGAAAUUCGUAGAUAUUCGGCGGAACACCAGUGGCGAAGGCGACUCACUGGCCCGAUACUGACGCUGAGGCGCAAAAGCGUGGGGAGCAAACAGG
rnacentral:rRNA from 1 species